rnacentral:rRNA from 1 species
GAUGAACGCUGGCGGCGUGCCUAAUACAUGCAAGUCGAGCGAACAGACGAGGAGCUUGCUCCUCUGACGUUAGCGGCGGACGGGUGAGUAACACGUGGAUAACCUACCUAUAAGACUGGGAUAACUUCGGGAAACCGGAGCUAAUACCGGAUAAUAUAUUGAACCGCAUGGUUCAAUAGUGAAAGACGGUUUUGCUGUCACUUAUAGAUGGAUCCGCGCCGCAUUAGCUAGUUGGUAAGGUAACGGCUUACCAAGGCAACGAUGCGUAGCCGACCUGAGAGGGUGAUCGGCCACACUGGAACUGAGACACGGUCCAGACUCCUACGGGAGGCAGCAGUAGGGAAUCUUCCGAAAUGGGCGAAAGCCUGACGGAGCACCGCCGCGUGAGUGAUGAAGGUCUUCGGAUCGUAAAACUCUGUUAUUAGGGAAGAACAAAUGUGUAAGUAACUAUGCACGUCUUGACGGUACCUAAUCAGAAAGCCACGGCUAACUACGUG